rnacentral:rRNA from 1 species
UACGUAGGGUGCAAACGUUGUUCGGAAUUACUGGGCGUAAAGCGUGCGCAGGCGGUUCUGAAAGUCAGCUGUGAAAGCCCCGGGCUUAACCUGGGAAUGGCGGUUGAAACUACAGGACUAGAAUCUGGCAGAGGGGGGUGGAAUUCCACGUGUAGCAGUGAAAUGCGUAGAGAUGUGGAGGAACACCGAUGGCGAAGGCAGCCCCCUGGGCUGAGAUUGACGCUCAGGCACGAAAGCGUGGGGAGCAAACAGG